rnacentral:rRNA from 1 species
UGGCGGCGUGCCUAACACAUGCAAGUCGAGCGAGAAUUCAUUGACGGAUCCUUCGGGAUGAAGAUAAUGAAGGAAAGCGGCGGACGGGUGAGUAACGCGUGAGUAACCUGCCUUCAGGAGGGGGACAACAUCUCGAAAGGGGUGCUAAUACCGCAUAAUAUUGUUUUAUCGCAUGGUAGAACAAUCAAAGAUUUAUCGCCUGAAGAUGGACUCGCGUCUGAUUAGCUAGUUGGUGAGGUAAUGGCUCACCAAGGCGACGAUCAGUAGCCGAACUGAGAGGUUGAUCGGCCACAUUGGGACUGAGACACGGCCCAGACUCCUACGGGAGGCAGCAGUGGGGGAUAUUGCGCAAUGGGGGAAACCCUGACCCAGCAACGCCGCGUGAAGGAAGAAGGCCUUCGGGUUGUAAACUUCUUUUACCAGGGACGAAGAACGUGACGGUACCUGGAGAAAAAGCCACGGCUAACUACGUG